CCACAGAACCCACGAAGAGGCCGAGCUCAGAUGGGCAACCCCGGCCGAAGCCGCCGCCGUUUCACCCACAGCCCGGGAACCCCGGCCAUGGUGGAAGCAUCUACCCACGGAUAAAGCCGCAGCCGCCCCGGCAGCCCGGAGACGAGGACACCCACGGCGGUGGAGGACACUGGAACAACGCGGACGAAGGGUACCAGCCGCCCCGGCCCAAGCCGCCUGCAG